CAGCCUGCAGCUCUUGGAGCUUGGCAUUGGCAUCCUUGAGGGCCAUCUCUCCAUGCUGCUCGGCCUCGGCAAUGGCCGUCUGCAGUGCCUCCAUCUUGUCUCCAUUUGUGGAGAUACUGCCCUGUGGGUCAGCCAGCCUGAGAUGACCUCCAGACGUCUAUUCCAGGGGAGGAGUCCUGAGAUCCUAGCCCCUGCCCCUCAGCAAUCAUCCCAGGUGCCAGCAUCCAUGACCAUCCCACCUGCUUCUUGACACCCUCGAUCUCUGCCCGCAGCCUCUGGAUCAUUCUGUUGAGCUCUAUGAUCUCGCUCUUGGUAUUUCUUAGGUCAUCCCCAUGCCUGCCAGCCGUGGUCUGCAGCUCCCCCAACUGCAGAACAGAAGGGAAGAUGGGGUAUUCCUGCAGCUUUGCUUGACUUGUUUCUACACCUCCAACAUCACCCACCAAACCUUCAGAAGCUCAGUAAGGCAUUUGCUAAAAUGAUACUGCAUUGUGUUUCAGCAGGGAAACCCCCAAGGCAGCAGGAAAGAGAACAUCUGGGUUGUUGUGGUAGAAGAUUUUCCUACCCUGUAGUUCCUGAGCAAGUUGGAGUCAGUCCCACAUAGCAGGCAACCAUCUCCCCCAGGGGCAAGACUUUCUGCAACUGAACCACCAUUAGAAGGAUGACUUCAGAGGGUAAAACCAAAAGGCAUUCACCCAGUGACCACUGGGAACUCACUACCCAGCUGUCCAAUAGGCCAUGGCCUCUCUGAAACCUCCAGUGGAUCCCGUAAGAGGUGACUAGCACCCACCUUGGUCUGGUACAGGGCCUCAGCUUCGGCCUUGCUUCUCUGAGCGAUAUCCUCAUACUGUGCACGAACUUCAGCAAUGAUGCUGUCCAGGUCCAGGGAGCGAUUAUUGUCCAUGGACAGCACCACAGAUGUGUCACUGAUGUGGCUCUGCAUCUGAGAUAGCUCCUGUCAACACAGAGGGAGCUUGUUCACUUUUGGGGUCCCUGUAACAAGCACACAGGGCCCUGAAAGACUCUUGAUCAACAGUCUCAUUCACUGAUUCCUUGCUCCACAUGUGUAUCAGCCACACCCUGUCCGCAGCCACUCAGAGAACCCCAUGUCUGCAGCUUAUCCUGUGGAAUCCCUUCCAAGGGUCCUCAUCUCCAGGCUCAUUCCAGAUGUCUUCUGGGGCCUAUAUACCAAAAUGCACCAGCCUCAAAUCUGGAAACACCUCACUCUCCCUCUGUCCCUUCUUAGUAGGUAACAUCCUUACAGCGUCGUAGAGGGUCCUUAAGAAGUCGAUCUCAUCUAUCAAGGCAUCCACUUUGGCCUGAAGCUCCACCUUGUUCAUAUAGGCACUGUCCACAUCCUGAGAAAAGAGGAAGAUAAAGGCCUUAUUCUCCCAAUGAACAAACAGCAAACCACAACUGCAGCAAGAAAGAGCAGAGGGGACUGGUGCAGUGAUGGUCCUUGUCUAAGACCAGUCUCCACUUGAACGGGCAAUUUGUAUCUCAUUAGGAUGGUCUAAGUUUAAUCCUACUAAAAAACUAAAGACUGAUGAACUAACUCUUUUAGGGAUCUUCCAGACUAAGGUGCACCUGACUUCUGUUUAUUGCUCCAAAGGCCUGAACUUGGCAGCUCUGUGGCAGUGGAGUGAGGAGAUUCCCCCAACCCAGCCAGAAACCUGCAGCUGCAAGCCUCAGAAACCUCACACACAGCCCUUACCUUCUUCAGAGUCACAAAUUCAUUCUCAGCAGCUGUACGUUUAUUGAUUUCAUCCUCAUAUCUGUGUGAAUAAAAAAGAAACAGCUGAGUUUGGUUUUGAGGUCAUCGUAAACACCAUUGUUCCCUGGAACUCUGAAAGUUCAUCUCUUCCCUCCCUCCAUCCCUAUCCUGCCCCUCUCAGAUGAGCACAUCCUCUUUACUAUCUCCCUGUUAGUUGGGGGACCAACCAAGUCAAUUUGCCCAGGCAAACUGUCUGGUUUUAGCACUAAAAUUUCUGCAUCCCAGGAAACCCCUCAGUCCCAGGCAAACCUCUGGAUGGUUGAUCACCAUACCAUGAGUUGUCCCAGAAUCUUUCACAUGCCAGAACCAGGAUCUUCCCCAACCUGGCUCAUGAGGAAAUGCUUCCCCAACUCUAAACUCAUCCGUUUUUUGUUUUUGUUUUUUUUUUAGACAUAGUCUCGCUCUGUCACCGAGGCUGGAGUGCAGUGGUACAAUCUUGACUCACUGCAACCUCCAUUUCCAGGGUUCAAGAAAUUCUGUUUCCUCAGCCACCCGACUAUCUUGGAUUACAGGUUGUAGAGGCUGCGACUGCCAAAGCCACCUGCUCCGCUCCGGAAGCCAUAGGCCCCUCCGCCAGCUCCCCCAGAGUGGGCCACACAGCUCAUCCUGCUGCUGCCGGAGACCACAGCAGAGCGGCCGGAGAAACCCUGGCUCCCGCCACCAGAUGUCUUGCUGGCUUGUCUGCUCAUGAGUCUGACACAAUGUAGGUGCUCAACAAUGCUUCUCGAACUGAAGCAACUGCCCCUGCCGUGCUCUUGGGUGGUGGAUUCACAGGAGAAGGAGCUACCAGCCCGAUGGGAGAAAUGCUGCAGCUUCACAGGACACGACACAGAAAAAGGAGUGUGACCAAAAUCCAGUAUGAGGAGGCCUAAGGGAGACAGAACAGCAGGAUAUUCCAAAGGGGUGGAGCCACUCCUAGAAGACUUCUAGACGAAAGGACUCCUCUUAGGUAUCAGAAUCUUGCCCUCUGUAAGAAGAGCACCUGCCCUGUCUCUAGCAUCUAGGGCCUGCUUCUUCCUCAAGACCCCACUUCAAUACCGCCUCCUGCAUGAAGCCUCCUGUGAUUGCCAACCCCUCACUCUAGACUAGAAGUAAUUUUGCUACCCUCUGGACUGUCAUGUCCUUCAUUUGUAACUUCCAAAGGCAUUCAUCUGUCUGUCUGGUUACCAAGUUCUUUAUGUGCAUGCUUUUAUCUAGACAUUAUCAUCUGUAUUAAAAGCUCCUUGAAAACAGAGUCUAAUUCUUCUUUGUAUAAUGGGUCCCCAUUGCCCA
rnacentral:lncRNA from 1 species